rnacentral:rRNA from 1 species
GAGUUUGAUCCUGGCUCAGAACGAACGCUGGCGGCGUGGAUAAGACAUGCAAGUCGAACGAGGUUACUUCUGUAGCAAUACAGGAGUAGCUUAGUGGCGCAAGGGUGCGUAACACGUGGGCAACCUGCCCUGGAGUGUGGGAUAGCCCGCCGAAAGGCGGAUUAAUACCGCAUGUGGCUACCGAGUGCAUACUCGGGACGCUAAAGUCGCUGCAAGGUGACGCUCCGGGAUGGGUCCGCGGCCUAUCAGCUAGUUGGUGAGGUAACGGCUCACCAAGGCGAUGACGGGUAGCUGGUCUGAGAGGACGACCAGCCACACUGGAACUGAGACACGGUCCAGACACCUACGGGUGGCAGCAGUCGAGAAUUUUUCUCAAUGGGGGAAACCCUGAAGGAGCGACGCCGCGUGGAGGAUGAAGGUUUUCGGAUUGUAAACUCCUGUCAUUGGUGAACAAAGCCUUGGGUUAACUGCCCGGAGGUUUGCUAGUAGCCGAAGAGGAAGGGACGGCUAACUCUGUGCCAGC